GACGAACGCUGGCGGCGUGCUUAACACAUGCAAGUCGAACGGAAAGGCCCUGCUUUUGUGGGGUGCUCGAGUGGCGAACGGGUGAGUAACACGUGAGUAACCUGCCCUUGACUUUGGGAUAACUUCAGGAAACUGGGGCUAAUACCGGAUAGGAGCUCCUGCUGCAUGGUGGGGGUUGGAAAGUUUCGGCGGUUGGGGAUGGACUCGCGGCUUAUCAGCUUGUUGGUGGGGUAGUGGCUUACCAAGGCUUUGACGGGUAGCCGGCCUGAGAGGGUGACCGGCCACAUUGGGACUGAGAUACGGCCCAGACUCCUACGGGAGGCAGCAGUGGGGAAUAUUGCACAAUGGGCGGAAGCCUGAUGCGGCAACGCCGCGUGCGGGAUGACGGCCUUCGGGUUGUAAACCGCUUUCGCCUGUGACGAAGCGUGAGUGACGGUAAUGUGUAAAGAAGCACCGGCUAACUACGUG
rnacentral:rRNA from 1 species